rnacentral:rRNA from 1 species
GUGAAAUUGUUGAAAGGGAAACGCUUGACACCAGUCAUGCGGGCGGAAAAUCAGUCUCUUAUAGUAGGGAGUGGUGGGAGUUUGGACCGCAAGGCCAGCUUUUGCUUCAUCUCUGCUAUGAGUGGUGCACUUUUUCGUUUGCAGGUCAACAUCAGUUUCUUCUGCUGGACAAAACUCUGAGAGAAGGUAGCAGCUUAGGCUGUGUUAUAGCUCUGGAGCGAUACAGUGGAGGGGACUGAGGCUUUCGCAGCGUGUGCUCUCGGGCAAGGCUGAUUGGGUGCUAUGAGAUCGUUCGGUGUACAAUGCAUGCAUUUUGCGCCGUGUCUUUUUUAUACUCGCUCAACUCGGCUCUUCCACGCUUAGGAUGUUGACUUAAUGGUUUUAAUCGACCCGUCUUGAAACACGGACCAAGGAGUCUAACAUAUAUGCAAGUGUUUGGGUGGCAAACCCAUGCGCGUAAUGAAAGUGAACGUAGGUGCCAUCCGCAAGGUGCAGCAUCGACCGAUCUUGAUAUUUUUGGAUAGAUUUGAGUAAGAGCAUAUAUGCUGGGACCCGAAAGAUGGUGAACUAUGCCUGAAUAGGGUGAAGCCAGAGGAAACUCUGGUGGAGGCUCGUAGCGAUUCUGACGUGCAAAUCGAUCGUCAAAUUUGGGUAUAGGGGCGAAAGACUAAUCGAACCAUCUAGUAGCUGGUUCCUGCCGAAAUUUCCCUCAG